rnacentral:rRNA from 1 species
CCUACGGGGGGCAGCAGUGGGGAAUAUUGGACAAUGGGGGGAACCCUGAUCCAGCCAUGCCGCGUGUGUGAAGAAUGCCCUCGGGUUGUAAAGCACUUUCAGUGAGGAAGAACGCCUGGUGGUUAAUACCCAUCAGGAAAGACAUCACUCACAGAAGAAGCACCGGCUAACUCCGUGCCAGCAGCCGCGGUAAUACGGAGGGUGCGAGCGUUAAUCGGAAUUACUGGGCGUAAAGCGCGCGUAGGUGGCUUGAUAAGCCGGUUGUGAAAGCCCCGGGCUCAACCUGGGAACGGCAUCCGGAACUGUCAAGCUAGAGUGCAGGAGAGGAAGGUAGAAUUCCCGGUGUAGCGGUGAAAUGCGUAGAGAUCGGGAGGAAUACCAGUGGCGAAGGCGGCCUUCUGGACUGACACUGACACUGAGGUGCGAAAGCGUGGGUAGCAAACAGGAUUAGAUACCCGUGUAGUC